AAAAAAGAAGAAGAAGGAAACUGCACAUGAAGCGAAAUGACAAGCUUUAGUUUUUCUUUUCCUCUUUUGAGACUUUAAAAGAACAAUUGAAACUUCACUGCAAUGUCAAAACUGCAAUGUUUUAAGUUAUAAAAAAAAUACACAUCUUUGAUCUACCAAAAGGCAGAGCCGGUAAUUAUGGAGUGAAAUCAUUUAAACGAUUGUAUAAAGACAAGCCACAUGCUUCUCAUUUACAAGCAAGGGGACGUGUAUGUUCAAUGAAAUCAAACACAAGGAACUUCAAAGUCCCAUUACUUGAAUGCUGUCAACGACCAAAACAAACUUGGAGUGUUUCUUUGCAUAGUCCACACCGAUAGUUCAAUAUCAAAAUUGACAACAGGUUUAAAGGCAAGAAGAAAAAGAACAGGGAAGAUGUUAAAAAGAAAUCCCGAACAUUGUUUUUGUUUUCAAUAUUAGCCGAAACUUUUAAUUUCAACACUGUAGCCAUGAACUUUAACAUUGGUCACCAUCGUGGCCAAUAUAUUGGGGAUGUGGUAUACAUACACAUGGAGCCUACAUAGCAAGCUCAAUUGGCAAUGCAUAUAUAUUUUCCAAUUGAAUUUUUCUUGGGUAAGCUUCACAUGUAUGUUGCUGAACUCCUUUAACUAAAUUGGCAUAAUUGAUGAAAUAAAAGGAUUGGACACAAUUGAAAAUUAGAGAGAGUUUGGGAUUUUUUUUUUGGUCCUUCUGGAGGCCCAUCAGCAACAUUCCAAUUGGGGUAAGAAGUUCGCAAAAGUCAUUGAAAAGAAGAAACGUCAUGUAGUUGUACUGUGAAGGAAUACCAAACUCCAGACCAAGUUCAGCAGGCAUACGUUGAAUGCGUAAACCUAUUAAUCCCAGCUCUUGCAUAACUGGAUGAACACAGGCAGGAAUGAGGCCCAAAUCUUCUCCACAGGCUAGCAUGUCUGAUGAGUUCAGGAGGACAGGCAAAGUUUUCAUAGCAUUUUGCCGCCAUAGGUUCUCUUGGCGAUGGAAAUAGUAAUCAAAAUACAAUCUUUUCAGAACAUUUUUGCUGUGGUCAUCCAGAUUUUGGAAACUUGAAGUAUCCUCAAGGUUGAAACGAGGGUAGAAUUUCCUUGCAUCCUCUGGAUCUCUAAUAAGAACUAUAUUCUUUAAAAGAUCAAAGAGGCCACGGCGUAUUAUUUCUUCACUCUCCAACAACAUGGACUUCUCUGCAAAUGUCUUCAACUUGAAAGCAAUUUUUUUCUCUGUGUUACAGUCCUUCUUGAA
rnacentral:misc_RNA from 1 species